ensembl:misc_RNA Metazoa_SRP Metazoan signal recognition particle RNA
GCCGGGUGUGGUGGCUCACACCUGUAAUCCCAGCACUUUGGGAGGCUGAGGUGGGAGGAUCACCUGAGGCUGGGAGUUUGAGACCAGCCUGACCAACAUGGAGAAAUCCCAUCUCUA